GCCGGGCGUGGUGGCGAGCGCCUGUACUCCCAGCUACUCGGGAGGCUGAGGCAGGAGAAUCGCUUGAACCCGGAAGGCGAAGGUUGUAGUGAGCCGAGAUCGUGCCAUUGCACUACAGCCUGGGAGAAAAGAGCGAAACUCCAUCUCAAAAGAAGAAAUCUUUUUGUGUUUGUUUUGAGACGGAGUUUUGCUCUGUUGCCCAGGCUGGAGUGCAGUGGCGCGAUCUCGGCUCACUGCAACCUCUGCCUCCCGGGUUCAAGCAAUUAUCCUGCCUCAG
ensembl:misc_RNA Metazoa_SRP Metazoan signal recognition particle RNA